rnacentral:rRNA from 1 species
CCUACGGGAGGCAGCAGUGAGGAAUAUUGGUCAAUGGGCGGGAGCCUGAACCAGCCAAGUCGCGUGAGGGACGACGGUCCUAUGGAUUGUAAACCUCUUUUGUCGGGGAACAAAGGCGCCCACGGGUGGGCGGAUGAGUGUACCCGAAGAAAAAGCAUCGGCUAACUCCGUGCCAGCAGCCGCGGUAAUACGGAGGAUGCGAGCGUUAUCCGGAAUCACUGGGUGUAAAGGGAGCGUAGACGGCUGAGCAAGCCUGAAGUGAAAGGCGGGGGCCCAACCCCCGGACUGCUUUGGGAACUGUACGG